AUGGUGAAAAGGACUCAUCAAAUUGUGGGAUGGCGCUUGUUAUCUUCAUUAAGGCAUCUGUUGAUGCGAGGGAAAACCACCAACGCGUACUCAUUGAGGAAGAGAUGCACAAGUAUCGACAAAUUGAAUGCAGUUUCAAGGGACUUUGCAUCGUGUUAUUUCUAUGAUUACCCUUCAAAGGUCAUUGACGAGAAAGACAAGAAUAUUCGUGAACUCAAGACGAAUGAAACUCUUAAUUUUCUUUGCCUUUUUCAUCGGUUUUUUGUUUCUUUUUUCCGUUUUCACAUAGUUUUUUUUUGUUUUCUUUAUUUUUUCUGUUUCCAAAGGUUUCUUCGUUUUAUACUUGGUUUUUCUCUGGUUUUUUUGCACUGUUUUUCUCAGGUUCUUUGUUUCCUUUUUCUCUUCUGGUUUAUUUGUCUCCUUCUUUGGGUUUCUUUGUUUUUUCUUUUUCUUCCUUUUCCUUUUUUCCUUUUUUAA
rnacentral:rRNA from 1 species